rnacentral:rRNA from 1 species
CCUACGGGAGUCAGCAGUAGGGAAUCUUUCACAAUGGGCGAAAGCCUGAUGGAGCAACGCCGCGUGCAGGAUGAAGGCCUUCGGGUUGUAAACUGCUUUUAUAAGCGAGAAAUAUGAUGGUAACUUAUGAAUAAGGAUCGGCUAACUACGUGCCAGCAGCCGCGGUCAUACGUAGGAUCCGAGCAUUAUCCGGAGUGACUGGGUGUAAAGAGUUGCGUAGGUGGCAUAAUAAGUAGCUAGUGAAAUCUGGUGGCUCAACCAUUCAGACUAUUAGCUAAACUGUUAAGCUCGAGACCGUUAGGGGUAACUGGAAUUUCUAGUGUAGGAGUGAAAUCCGUAGAUAUUAGAAGGAACACCAAUAGCGUAGGCAGGUUGCUGGGACGGUUCUGACACUAAGGCACGAAAGCGUAGGGAGCAAACGGGAUUAGAUACCCGUGUAGUC